rnacentral:misc_RNA from 1 species
UAAUAAGUGUUUUAUGGCACUUUUUAAAUCCAUAUCCACCUUGUGUGCAAUGUCAGUCGGUUUUCUUUUUCGUCAAGAAAAAAAGGAUCGACCAAACAGUCAACUUAUUCUAAUUGAACUUUUGUCUGAAAACUAUUAUGAAUAAACUAAUUCAAAAUA